CACUGGAGUGGUCAUGAUGACAAUGUUGGACACGCCAGUACAGAAACUUGAAUGCCUUUCAGACCCUUAGUGGUUGGUCACCUCCCUAACCCAGGUCAGGGUGAACCCUGAGAGGCUGAAUAAAGCCUGAUCAAGAUGCAGAAUUACCUGGAAAAGGAAGGGAGUAACAGGGAGACCACAGAGACCUGGACAAUCUCAUCCAUCCUUGAAAGGAGACCUGAGGAGCAGUGUGCAGUCUCAUGCCCCAUCACGCUUCUCAAGUGGUAAACAGGGAGCACAGAGAGGCUGUGGGAUCUCCACUGACACCAAACAUGUCACUGAGCUGCCAACACAAUGGGAGCUGGGAGAGCUGCUGGCCUAGGAUCGGAUGUCAAGGAGAAGUGGCAGGAGGUGAGAAGUGCCAGGAAUGCUGCUUCCCAGCUGGCUCUGGAAACAGUUCAUGCCUGUGUCCAUCUGCACUCAGAUCAAAGCCUCCCUGAAUUAUUCAGGUGCUCUUUGAAAAUUCUCAUCAUGCAGAAAGUGAAGGCAGCUUGGCUUUACCUGCUGGAAAACAAGCACUCAUUGUAAGCUCCAGGGCCAAACCAAGGUUCCUCUGCUCACACAAUGACAGCAGCUCCUCCCACCUUCAUGGCAGAAUUCUGUCCUCCUGUUACACCAGGUUCUUACAUACAUGUCUCAAAUGUGUGGGCCCUCAGUCCUUGCAGGCUUCAGUAGGUACUUUGCAUCUAAUACAGCCCAGACUUGCAGUCCUGAUCCUGCCUCCUCCAGUGUGUUGGGCACACUGAUACA